AAUUCUUGGAUCAAUGGGAUUUUCAUCUAACUAAUUGUGAUUCAAUUGGAACCUAAUAAUUGGGCUAGGAAACAAUUAGUUAGUUUAUUUUAACUAAUUCUUAAGUUAGUUAGGAUUGGAUCCAAGAAUUAGUUAGAAUUUGACUAAGAUCUUGAAUCACAUUUAGAAUAUGACUAAACCCAACCUACCCAUAUGAUUUAUUUAAUUUCCAUGCCCCA
rnacentral:lncRNA from 1 species